rnacentral:rRNA from 1 species
CCUACGGGAGGCAGCAGUGAGGAAUCUUCCACAAUGGACGAAAGUCUGAUGGAGCAACUCCGCGUGCAGGAUGAAGGCCUUAGGGUUGUAAACUGCUUUUAUUGGUGAAGCGGUAACCAAUGAAUAAGGGUCGGCUAACUACGUGCCAGCAGCCGCGGUCAUACGUAGGACCCAAGCGUUAUCCGGAAUUACUGGGCGUAAAGAGUGCGUAGGUGGUUUGUUAAGCGAAUAGUGAAAUCUGACGGCUCAACCGUCAGACUAUUAUUCGAACUGGCAAACUCGAGAAUGGUAGAGGUAAUUGGAAUUUCUGAAGUAGGGGUAAUAUCCGUAGAUAUCAGAAGGAACACCAAUGGCGUAGGCAGAUUACUGGCCUUUCUGACACUGAGGCACGAAAGCGUGGGGAGCGAACCGGAUUAGAUACCCUUGUAGUC